rnacentral:snoRNA from 1 species
CAGCAUGUUCCCAAGUUCUCAGGCUGCUUGUAGCCAAGGAAUCUCCAGCUGCAUGCAAGAGCAACCUGAGGAGACUUUGACAGCCCAGGUCAGCAGAGUACCUGCAGCUGCCAUUCAACUUUCCUGUAAUG